UCUUUACCUAGUAUACCCAAAAACGAAAGUUACUAUAUACAAAACAACUUGAAUUCACUACAGUUAGGGCACAAACUAGGAUUAGAUACCCUACUAUGCCUAACCAUAAACCUUCAACCUACACUAACAUCGCCAGGUAACUACGAGCAAAGCUUAAAACCCAAAGGACUUGACGGUNNNNCACAUCCCCCUAGAGGAGCCUGUCCUUUAAAU
rnacentral:rRNA from 1 species